AUGAGUGGAAUUCAAAGCAAUCAAAACGGGACCCCAGGUACCAAGCCCUGUUUUACUGGUGUGGCCCCACCGUAACCACGGUGAGGCUCUGUCUGGGAUCUACGGUUAGGGUCUCUCAAAAUAGUGCCGGGGAAGCUCUGAGGUUGGCCCCCACUCUACAGCGGGGAAAACCAAGGCCGAGAUUUCAGCAGACCCGGAAGUAGAGCACAGCACUGCUGGCAUAUCUGCCUUUCCCCAUCUUGACUCUCUGUUUCUCACAGUUGCCUUUUCUUUCUAUCACUCACUCGCUAAGUACUCAAAGACUGGCUUUAUCUUUUCUUAUUUAUAUUCAUUAAAAAACAAUGUGAACUGAAAAGUGAAACCUUUCUCUGCCCUUAUAACAGGCAGUCUUGUGGUCUACCAGGGGCUCUGCUUCUCCCCACCCAGCCCUGGGAGUCCACCAUCGGUGUACCACAGUGUGUCAGACACGCUGAUGUUCCCUAAACUCUGCCCUCACAUUUUAUGGUGGACAGAGGACUUAGUCACAGUCUUGUGAUCUGCACUCACAAAGAUAUCUUGUGGUAGGCAUGAAAAUCAGUAUAAUUCACCAUUAAAUUUUACAGAUGAGGAUGCUGGGACUCCAAGAGGUGAAGAGACUCAGCCAGAGGUACUGAGCUGACCCAAGAUAAGAGCAUGAGUCCUGCCUCUAGUCUUGGACUCUGUCUCUCCAAAGUAGUGCCUGCUGUCUGACUCACAGGGAGCCCCUCUGGAGAUGGAGCCUCAGCCCAUGGUGUGAGGGGCCCUCUGCUUACUGGCCCCCUGAAGCAAAUUCAGGUUGGAAGAGGGAGUACUGGGUCGAAGACAUGAGCAAGCAUCUCUUCUUUCUGAUCCUGGGCCCAUCAAGCAGCUUUCCAGAGGAAUCAGCCACGUGGUUUCUGUGAGCAGUCACAGUCAUCCCCUCUCAGUGGGGAUGAAGAUGGGUAGGGGGGACCCUGAGCCCAGGCUGCCUGGUCUCUUGAAAGUGACAGAGACUGUGUCCUCAGUGAUUCUCUGCAUCUCCCACUGCCCACCAGCUUUGUGCUGACCCUCCUCUCUGCAGGGGUGUGAUUGCUGUUCAGUACUGCCCGCUGGGAACUAUUUUCUUCCACCAGCAAUGACCCACUGGAUCCUGGUUCCCAGUCUCUCAGUAAAAAUCCAAGUUGUGACAGCAGAGAGGAGGAACAUGACUGUCAAGAAGAAGAAUGAAGACUCCGCUGAGUCUGCAACUUCCCAGAAUGGAUGGAGGAAGCCAAGUCUGUGAGGACACAAAGGAACUGAACCUUGAAAACAUCAUGCAACACAGAAGACCACAUCCUCGGGUGCUUCCAUUUGUCUGAAAUGCCCAGAACUCACAAAGCUACAGAGGCGGAAGGUAGAUCAGUUUCUGCCUACCAGGGGGCAGGAGAAUGACUGCUCAGGAGCUCAAGGUUCCUUUGGGGGUGAUGGAAAUGUUGUAGAUGUCGACUAUACAGAUGGCUGCACAACUUGGAAUAUACCAAAAACUCUGCACACUUUAAAUGGGUGAACUGUACAGUACCUAAUUAUAUCUCAACAAAAUUCUUUUUUAAAGAGCAAAAGGAAACAUACUUUCCAGCUCA